GUGUGGUGCAAAUAACUGUGCAAAUACAAAUAACACAUUUUCUUUUCCCUGAAAAUUUUGCAGGCUUAAAUGUCACACAUGUAGCAUGCUGAAACACACUCACGUACCCUUUGUAUGGAUGAAAUUUAAAACUGCAUCUUUACGGACUUUGUUUUGCUUGCAGUGGUAGAGGAAGACAGGAUCAGCGCUGCAAAAUGAGUAAUGCUUUGCAAAACAACAAGUACUUUGCCUCAGAGGAGUAAUCAAGACCGUUAUUUAACCCAUGCUCACAAAAUAUACUAUAUUGUCCUAUGAUUUACAGUUUUCUCUUUUAUCAUUUUCUCUCUAUAGCUACUUCUAGAAUGCACUUUCCUUCUCUAAAAAGUUUGCAGGUACUUCUCAUUUCUUCCCUUUAGUCUAUCUGCUCUUAGACUCCUCAGUGGUGUCUGUAGAGCACGAGGUCUCAUGAAAAUCCUCUCUGUUUUUCUCUUCUGCCUCAGUUAAGAUUGUACUGGGAUACAGGGAUCUUAGUCUAAUUAAAUAACAGAUACGCCUUUCUGCUUUGUGCCAAACUCCAGCUAGCCUUGCCUCUCUGAUGCCAAGCUGCUAGUUCAAGUGUAGCGUGGACAAAACAGCUCUUAACCUUCUUACAGAUCCUACUUAAAACUACUUCCACCCUUCUCAUUUAGCCUUUCAAAAGCACACACUUUCCAAUCCAUCCACACAGCUAAAAAAAUAGUGUUUAGUUACUUGCAAAAACCUACUGCACUCCUAUCUGUACAUAAUGCUGUUAUCAAGAUAAUUUUCCAUUGCUUUGGCCAUGUGAUGCCUGCCUUUGCAUCCAAUCUAAUUACCCAUUUCUACUGCAUGUAGCAAAAUAUUUGUCCCCUGGAAUAUUCCCGUCCUCCUUCACUCAUUACUAGGAGGUCUGCUUCACCCUUCCCCAGUACAAAAGAUGAGCUUUCAACUCACACUGCUUAUGCUUUCCAAAAACUCUGUGCUCUCUGCAGUGCCACUCAGAGUUUAGAUACGCCCUCCAUCAGCAUCCACAGAUCUACCUUCAAACCCUCCUUUCCUCUUUCGAUAUUUCUACACAUUUAGCUGUUGCUGGUGUGCUGAGACCAAUGCCUACCACACAUUAAAUGCUCUCUGCUUAAUCAUGCUGUCUGCAUUAAGCAGUUCAGUUUUUUACCUGGUGCUGUCCUCACUGCAACACCUGAGCAAUGAAUGAACAGCAGAAACAACAACAAAAAACUGGCUUCACAUUUUUCUGACUCAGCCUGUAAGUCACAAAAGCCAAGUUAGCCAGACUAAUUAAAUAAGGUUAUCAUAAAUUUACUGUAUUAUUACAAUUACUCUUACUACUAUCAUAGAAUUAAGACUUUCACAUCCCAAGAAAAUAUCUCCUCAUUUAUACUUCCCACAAUUAAUGAUACAUGGACUUUUCAAUUAAUGUGGAGUUUGUUCCUGUGAGCUGUAAAAGCAGCCCAAAAUACUAGAUUCAGACCUGGAGAAAUUUUUAUCUGCAUCUGAACUUUGCAUUUAGUCUUCAACUCUGAUGAAUGGAAAAAUGGAAACGAAAUUCAUUUUUGUCCUGAAUUCACACACUGUAUAGUUUGAAUAGCUGUAGUGCGAACUCUCCCUUCAGAGAAAAUAUACUACAAAAUGUACAUUGCUACUAACCUCUGCUGCAAUCUUCUGGUAACAAAAGUAUAUUUUAUGUUUUGAGUUAGAUUGGAUUCCAGCUUUCCAAAAGUGGAAGGAAAAGGCAGUAAUCUACUUUUCUACUCAGUUUUCAAGGUCUGAUAAAAAAGUUGUAACAGGACUGUGACUAGGCUAAAAUAAACAUAGAUAGCAAGGCAUUGUUAAAAAAAAAAAUCAAAUAUUCCUUUUGUAAGGUUGUCGGAAAAAUAUCACUUGUGAUAAAAUGUCUCCUUCUUUUGGGGCAGAGGAUGCUUCAAGACAGCGAAUGGAAGAACCUUUCGUCUUUCAGGCUGGGAGCACUCGACAAUGGAGUGUGCUGGGGAUUAGACAGGCUGUGCUGGAGACGCUCGUCCCACUGCACACAGCCAUUGUUCGGCUGCUGUUAUGAAGAGUUGGCCCAAAUGGAAGAAUUUGGCCUCUGGGAAUCUAAAACUUUCUUUCCUGGAGGUGAUGCUGGGAAGGGCCGAGGUACCUCGCUGAGCACUGUAGCAGGGAAUGCUCCCGCUGGCAGAGCCACCCAAGCAUGGGGCAGCUGCUCCAUCCCAGCAUCUCUGCAACAUCUGGUGUCCGUUUUUUGUUGCUUUUUUUUUUUUUUUUUUUUCCAUUAGGUGCAGGCUGUUAUUUUGAUAUGACUCUAGCAGCACAGACAGAUGCAACAUCGACAAGGUAUGCAGUUUCACCAGUGCUUCCCAUGAACCUUUUCAGUGCCACUGCCUCUGAACAGGGCUUCUUGAGGCAGCAGCUAAGAAACAAAGCUGUAUAAAAGCUACCCCACUAGAGAUCUGCAUAUGAUCCCCAUGCCCAGCCCUCCAGAUCAGGUGACUUGUUUUCUCUGCAGGGGAAAGCAUCUGAGGUUCUCCAGUAUUAAGAAGCAGCACUUUACACUUCUCUACACACAUAUUUCCCAGCUAAAGAGCAGUCCGAAUCCUUUUAACUUAGUCUGUUCUGCUGCUUUUGUAAACCUAUACUCACAUAUUUUGACAAAGCAGACAAAUGAUGAUCUAGAUGAGAACAAUGAAUUGGACUCUCCAUCUUCCUAUUAGAAAAGCAUAAUCAAGUGCAGCAACAAAAAUAAACUAAUCGAGCUAAACUCUGAAACUGAAAAAUAAAAUUAGCCACUUACAAGAUUAGUAAUUUAUGUUCAUAAACUUAUUGUGUUCAUAACUUAUUUUCAUACUUAGCUACGUAUUGGGCAGAGGAAUUGUGACCUUAUUUGUUUUUAAAUUUUCUGAUUUUUAGACAAAGCAUUUCUUUUAACCCCUGCUACAGAAGGAAGGCCUCUGACACAGCACAGUGAAAAUUAAGGAUAACUUUUGCAUCCAUUCUAUAGGCUAUGCCCAUUCCAUGUUGUUCUCCUUCUCCCGUUCUGUUCUCCCAGUGACAAUUCCAGCCCCAUUUGUAGACUGAAAUGAAAAUGAUGCCUUUUUUCACUUUUUUUUUUUUUUUUGUAUAUUUAAAGAUAAUGUUUAAGGUGAUAACAACUGACAAUCGCUUAUCUUUAGAAUACAUAUAUGUAUCUUUUCAUUAAAAGGUUAAUCAAAAUCCAGCUGAUCCUAUAGCAACUAACUUUGGGUGUUGGACCGUAGCACUUUUGAGACAAGAUGCUGUGAAAAUGGACAAUGACACUGUGGGUUCACCUCUACAUAAUUGUAACUGGAAAAUAUGAAUGUUGUGUUUAUAGUCUGGCACUAACACUGCAGAUAUUCACAUUCUCUCCAAAGAGAAUGUGUACUUCAGUACUGUUUGUAUAUCUAAGUCCAUAUGCAGAUUCAUUCUAUUUUGGGGAGUUCACAAAACAGAAUUUAUUCCCAGUUCAGAAUGUAUAUCCGAAGUCCUCCCGAGGAGGUGCAGGUGACCAGGAGUUUGGCUCCUACCGCUUUCUACUCUGCCAGGCCACAAGCCAAGAUUACAAGCUGCAUUUUUUACUUUUCUGAGUCAUUCAGAUAAAAGGAAAAAACAGUAACAUUCCCCACACUGUGUACCACUCAGAUAACAUACAGACAAAUAAAUAUAAGCAAAACAACAUCAAUCUUUAUGUAUAUAUUUAAAAGGAAGUGCAGUCCUUCAGAUCACAUGUGCCUGUCUCCCUCUCCUCUCCCCACUCUCCUGUCCUUACCUUGAUUUUGUCCUCUAAAAGCAGCCCCCCUCCACCCCCCACCCCGGCACACCAGCAGCCACUGAUGCUGUUCGUAUUUCACCAGAAAGAAUCUUGCUGCUUCUCUGCCUCCUCAAGAAGGACAAUGUCCGAAAUGUCCUAAAAAUUCUCAGUAGUGGCCUUCAGAUAGGGGAUGGUUCACCUUCUCUGUCCAGCCCUGCAGCGCUUCCUUUCCCGGCUUGUAUCAUCAGCUUUCCAACACCCAGCAGAGUCGGGGGGACUGCCUGUUUCUUUCUACAGCCUUAAUUGUCCUGUCGGUCUGUGGGACCCCAGGAGGAAGAAAGGCCGUUCCCGAAACAGUGGCAGUGAAAGCCAGCACAGAUCAGAGGCAUGCGAGGCCACCUGAGUGUAGGAGGACGCACCACAUCGCUGCGGGUAAUCCCUGCACAAGGGUCUGUCCAGCAGGAAGGAUAUUUUCUACUUCUAUUUGCUGGAGACACAAUCAAGUGCACUCAGAGCAGCGGUCUGUGCCGUUGAUCUCAAACCCGCCCUGCUGCUGCUGAGUGCACGUGAAGAAGGACAACAGUUUAUUUACAAGAUGUAAAGAAAAACGUUCACUGGCUAAUAAAGCAUUUCGCUCAA